UCUAGGAGUGUAACAUACCAGAUUUUGGUAUAAAAAUAAAAAUAAAUAAAAAUAGUGUGAGAAACUAUUUUUAUUGGAUUUGUAGAAGUAAAACAUAAGUCAGAAGUGACUUGUGCUGAAAUCGGAAUGAAAACAGAAGAUCUAAAAUUUUCUGUUGGAAACGGGACAGAUAAAUAAGCAGAAAAUGCACAGUCUCAGAAAAUUUUGAAAAUUGGCAGAGAUGUCAGAAAUAUUUUUAUGAGGCUAGAUUUAAGGUUUCAUAUUUUUCUGAC
rnacentral:lncRNA from 1 species